GGUUCCAUAGUGUAGCAGUUAGUACGUCUGUUUUAUACACAGAAGGCCCUGGGUUUGCACCCCAGUGGACCCA
rnacentral:tRNA from 1 species